ensembl:snoRNA
GGCCUCAUUCUAGGUUAGAAUGGGCUCUGUUGAUUUGUUUCCCUAUGUGGCUAAAAUUGAGACACAGGUAAGUCACGCUUCCAUUACCGCAAAUGAAUUACAGUGGCGACAGUGAGACCUGUGACGUUU